rnacentral:rRNA from 1 species
UACAGAGGUGGCAAGCGUUGUUCGGAAUUCCUGGGCGUAAAGGGCGCGUAGGCGGCCCGUCAAGUCCCGUGUGAAAGCCCCCGGCUCAACCGGGGAACGGCGCGGGAAACUAGCAGGCUUGAGUUCGGGAGAGGGAAGCGGAAUUCCGGGUGUAGCGGUGAAAUGCGUAGAUAUCCGGAGGAACACCGGUGGCGAAGGCGGCAUCCUGGACCGGCAUUGACGCUGAGGAGCGAAAGCCAGGGGAGCAAACGGG